rnacentral:lncRNA from 1 species
CAGAUAUGACUUACUUCAAAACAAUAAAAGCAUAUACAUUGAAAUUUAAGCACAAUGAUAUACAUUUUGUGCUAUUAUUACUGUGUAAAAUAAAACUGGAAACAACACUACGUCGUUUAAUAAUGUCAUGCGUCCGAAGCGCUUUUCUGGAUUGUGUAACGCUCACAAUUCUUCAAAUCCACAAAAUUUAUACUUUUUGCAAACUUAUUUUUUUCGGAAUGUAAGUAAAUAUAUAUCAUGUUGGGGAAAUUUUCUUAUUUUACAAAAUAAUAUACU